rnacentral:ncRNA from 22 species
UAAGAGGGAAUCCGGUGCAAGUCCGGAACUGCCCCGCAGCGGUAAGCGAAAACGAACCCCGCAACCAGGCACUGGGCGACAUCCGCCCGGGAAGCCGCGGGAACUAGGAAACCGGCCCACACCGGGCCGACGCGUUCGCAAGUCCGAACACCU